AAGACUAUACUUUCAGGAUCAUUUCUAUAGUGCUGUACUUGAGAAAUGUGUCUAAAGUGGUAGAUCUCGCUAUCCAUGAUGACGAUAAAGAUAUUCCCGUUCAGAGCAUGAAUCUGGUGGUUAGAAGUGACUUUGCUCAUUUUCUUCACCUUUGAUGACUGUCCCUUGUUCUUCAAUGAACGUGGAUGAAGGGAAUAGUUCUGAGUGGA
rnacentral:snoRNA from 1 species